rnacentral:rRNA from 1 species
AAAUUGAAGAGUUUGAUCAUGGCUCAGAUUGAACGCUGGCGGCAGGCCUAACACAUGCAAGUCGAACGGUAACAGGAAGAAGCUUGCUUCUUUGCUGACGAGUGGCGGACGGGUGAGUAAUGUCUGGGAAACUGCCUGAUGGAGGGGGAUAACUACUGGAAACGGUAGCUAAUACCGCAUAACGUCGCAAGACCAAAGAGGGGGACCUUCGGGCCUCUUGCCAUCGGAUGUGCCCAGAUGGGAUUAGCUUGUUGGUGGGGUAACGGCUCACCAAGGCGACGAUCCCUAGCUGGUCUGAGAGGAUGACCAGCCACACUGGAACUGAGACACGGU